UACAGAGGGUGCGAGCGUUAAUCGGAAUUACUGGGCGUAAAGCGCACGUAGUCGGCUUUGCAAGUCGGUUGUGAAAUCCCCGGGCUCAACCUGGGAACUGCAUCCGAGACUGCAUUGCUAGAGUAUGGGAGAGGAAAGCGGAAUUUCUGGUGUAGCAGUGAAAUGCGUAGAUAUCAGAAGGAACAUCAGUGGCGAAGGCGGCUUUCUGGACCAACACUGACACUGAGGAGCGAAAGCCAGGGGAGCAAACGGG
rnacentral:rRNA from 1 species